rnacentral:rRNA from 1 species
GAAAGCAGGGGAUCGUAAGACCUUGCGCUUUUGGAGUGGCCGAUGCCUGAUUAGCUAGUUGGUGGGGUAAGAGCCUACCAAGGCGACGAUCAGUAGUUGGUCUGAGAGGACGACCAGCCACACUGGGACUGAGACACGGCCCAGACUCCUACGGGAGGCAGCAGUGGGGAAUUUUGGACAAUGGGCGGAAGCCUGAUCCAGCAAUGCCGCGUGAGUGAAGAAGGCCUUCGGGUUGUAAAGCUCUUUCAGUCGAGAAGAAAAGGUUGUGACUAAUAAUCGCAACUUAUGACGGUAUCGACAGAAGAAGCACCGGCUAACUACGUGCCAGCAGCCGCGGUAAUACGUAGGGUGCGAGCGUUAAUCGGAAUUACUGGGCGUAAAGGGUGCGCAGGCGGCUCUGUAAGUCAG